UUCCGGGUGGCCCUGAGCUCUGGAGGACUGUGGUCUCCAGCCCGGGAGAUGCUGCUUCUGCAGGUGCCAGACCACAGGCCCCACCUCAGAAGAUCCAGGUCAUAAGAUUUCCAGGCUUGGGAGAUAGAAAAGCCCAGGUCACCUGCAUGUCCUUCAGUGUGAAGAAUUGUGUCUACUUCAUCUCUGCCUCUCACCUCGACUUGGAGCUUUACAGGAAGAUCCAUGGCCUCAGCCCCAACUAACAAGAGGAAGAGAGAGGAAGCAACAUGCUCCAUCUGCCAGCAGCCCAUGACAGAGCCUGUGAGCUUCGACUGUGGGCACAGCUUCUGCCACCAGUGCAUAGAGGGCAGCAUUGAAGAGCAACAAGAGACAUCAGGGGAACAACCAGGGAUAUCAGGGGUGCAACCAGGGAGGAAGAGACCGAGAUGGGGGAGAUGGGCCUCUGACUAUCGUUUGCUUCGGGCAUCAAUGCGUGAGGAAGUUAUCGGGCAUUUAGAUGAAUACAUCAAUGCAGCUGGCAAGGAGUUAGAGGGUGAGAGGCUGUGUGAGGAACAUGGGGAGAAGCUGUGCCUGUACUGUGAGGACACCGGGCAGCUCAUCUGCAGUGGCUGUGCACAGUGCCCCGAGCACAGCGGACACAACCAUGUCCUUGCUGAAGAUUUGUGUCUGCGCUCCAAGAAAAAACUCCAGGAAGCUGUGACAAAACUGAGAGAACUGUUACACCAGUCUAGGAGUAUGAAGUUGAGCACAAGAGAACAAACAAGGGAAUGGCAGGUAAGAAUUUGAGGCUUUUCUAUCCUAGAACAUACACGGAAGGCGUGGUUGGACAAAGCAUAAACUUGAUUAUUUAUUCUCACCAGCCCAUGAGAA